GUUAACCUAGCCGCUUACACAGUUUCCAGUGCCUCCGAGGGGCCGGGACUCAUGGAGGUCGGAGUUUCAAAGAUGUUCCGUGGAAGCUGCUGGAGACACAAUAACCAUUUUGAGGAGGAGAGCCAAGCUGUCUGGAACCACUGUCUGCAAGGGCUUCUCUCCCAUCCCAGCAAGGGUACCCCGCAAUCAGAGCACCUCUGGCCGUGGGCUGCCCGGAUAAACACUGAGGGAGGCGGAGUGGUCAUUAGCUGAGGGCAGAGACUCUAGCGGUCCCCACGCAGCCCGAAAGCUGGAAGAGGGCGGGAUUUACUGAUCUGCAGGCAGAAAGAAGAGUAAAGAGAAGAGAGAUUUUUUCAAGCCUGCUUUCUCUUUUGGCUCACCCACACCGGGCAGGUGUGUCCUGGGGCUUGCAGAAGGCAGAGUGAGGACCAGAAGGUUGUCCACGGAGAACACUGGGAAGAUGGAAUCAAGGCACGGGGAUGAGAGGUACUGAUCAGGUCUCUGCUCACCAGGUCAGAGGCAGAGCACAAGACAGUUGUCACCAGGAGCAGAGUGAGGAGAAGAGGACCCAUGGUGAGUGAGCUGUGUGGGACCCGGCCACUCGGGGCAGCCUUUUGGGUGGGCUGUGACUGGGGAAACAGUGUCCAGCAGUGGAGCCAGAACACAUCUGUUUCUCCCCAUCUCUGGCUGAGAUGUGACCCAUGACCCCCAGAGUUUGUGAUUCCUGGGACACGGAGGCCAUCAGCAGUGGCUGGCUUCAUCCUCACAGUGGGCUGAGUACUUCCCGUGAUGUCAGCCACUGUGUAAUUUCUGGGGGGCUGAGCUCCCUUAUCCUUGGUGCAGAAGUGAAAUAAAAUAGGGUCCACUCUGAGAGCCCCAGCCAGUGCCCAGUGGACCUUGGGCCAGGCCUUCCGGGGGCUUCCUCCUGUCACGUGGCCCGUCCUCUGGAAGUGCGAGGAACCACUGGGCCGGCGCUGGCUGCUCACAGAGGAACUUUCACACCUACUUGAUACCUACUCUCACCUUGGACUAUGAACUCCCAGUUUCCUCCCCUGCGUUCGGGUGCAGGAGGCACCCAGCUUCCAGAGGCUCCACAGAGACCCUGCACUUUCCUUACCCCACACAUUCUCUCUCUUGCACAUUAUGUCGCCCUCAACUCCGUGUUCAGAUUUCAUCCCUGUCUCAAUCCUGUCUCUUGUGAGGACACAAUUUCCCUGCCAUCCCCACCAGGGCCAGGAGGCAGGGGCUCUGUCUGAAGGGAGGGCAGUUGACAGAAAGGGGGCGGAGAGGUCACGAAGACCAAAUGCAGCUACUUCCCAGUCAAGGUCUAGCUGCAGUUUUCCUCAGACACC